rnacentral:antisense_RNA from 1 species
AUUAUUUUUCUCCUUUUCAAUAUUUUCUUCUAAAUUAACUAAGUUACUUACUAUCUUUAAAUUAUAUAAGCUCCUUAUAUUUGGAGUCAAGCUUGAGCUGCUGAUUCUUUUAUCACUAUUCUGAAAACUAUUAAUUAAAUUACAAUUACCCAUUUUUUUUCGAGGUAAUUUUGCUUUUGGGAUUUCAACACAGUUUUCAAUAUUGAAAAAGGAUGACCAACCUUUCAGCUCUAAUAUAUCAGUAUUUAUUUCCAUAUUUUUCGUCAUUAUUUGUCUCAAAUGCAUUUCUUGUUGAAUCAUAGUAAAUUCAAUAAGUAUGAAUCUGAAAAUAUCUACUCUUUCAUUUAUAUUUGAAUGGGAAAGUCUUUUUAGUGGAUUAUUGAUUCCAUCAUUCAAGAUUAUUUCCAGCUCGCACUGGUCAUAAAAUUCGUUUAAGGUAUUUUUUGGUGAUUCUAACCUAGAAUUAUUAAUUUUAUUUGCUUCACACCAUCUGAUAGAUAUCAAUUGAGGAGAUAUCCAAACAAUUCGAAGCAAGUUAUCAAGAGAAAAUGUUUUUUUAGUUAUAUUUUCUACCUGUUCUUUAAUAAAAGUAGGAUAAAAGAAUGGCUUUUGUCUUCUUUCAAGUAGUCUUAAAACUAUUUCCAAGCCUUGAAAGAUUUCGAUUAAGUAUUCAUAUUUUUCUGAUAAUUUAAUUUUCUUCAAUCUAUCAAAGUUGGCUUUGUUACUUUGUUUAAAAAGAUGUUUAUAAAUUGAUAAAUUUGUAUUUUGGUCUUUAGAUAAAACAGCUUCAAGCCUAUUUCCUUGUUCAAAUUCACAAACAUUAGUGAAACAGGAUGCCUUAUUAGAAAUAAGUUCUACAUUGUCAUUUUCUCUUGUUGGAGAGUUAUUUUGAGACUCGGGGGCAGUAGGUGGUAAUAAACUAUCUAGAUGAGAUAUAUCAUUAAAACUCGUUUUUUCUGUGUCGAAAUGCUUAGAAGUCAACGCAUCUUUUGAGUUAUUCAGUAAAACAAGCUUUUCUUUAGAAUCUGAAAGUGAAUUAUUAUCAUUAUUGAUGAUAUUACUAUGGUUAACUUUAAUUUCUUGAUUUGU